GGAGAGGUGGCUGAGUGGUCGAAAGCGCUCCCCUGCUAAGGGAGUAAGGAAGCAAUUCCUUCGAGGGUUCGAAUCCCUUCCUCUCCGCCA
rnacentral:tRNA from 1 species